AUUGAACGCUGGCGGCAGGCCUAACACAUGCAAGUCGAGCGGAGCGGCGGACGGGUGAGUAAUGCCUAGGAAUCUGCCUGGUAGUGGGGGAUAACGUCCGGAAACGGGCGCUAAUACCGCAUACUAUCAGAUGAGCCUAGGUCGGAUUAGCUAGUGGGGGGGGUAAAAGCCUACAAGGGCGACGAUCCGUAACUGGUCUGAGAGGAGGAUCAGUCAGGCUGGAACUGAGACACGUGCCAGACUCCUACGGGAGGCAGACGUGGGGAAGAUUGGACAAGGGGGGAAAGCCUGAUCCAGCCAUGCCGCGGGUGUGAAGAAGGUCUUCGGAUUGUAAAGCACUUUAAGUUGGGAGGCGUUACCAACAGAAUAAGCACCGGCUAACUUCGUGCCAGCAGCCGCGGUAAUUC
rnacentral:rRNA from 1 species